AGGAGAAAUCGCGUCCGAACCGAUACAAGACCGCGUUUGAUGGCUUCCGCCGUCCGGACAGCGCGGUCUGAACGAUUGUGGAAGGUUUGCGGGUCUGUCUUGAAGAUGCCCUAAGUAGGCAAGCAGGGGAGGGCGAUGUGGAGGUCGAGCGCUCUGGUCGACGUGUAUUUUCUCUUUGGAUAUUGCAUUUUGGUCUUCACUUUCUUUUGUUGCAUACAUGCAUCAAGCUUGGGAACGAUCGGCCGUGGUCGCUCUCCCACAAAAGAGAAAGGAUGGCCAGCAGAAAAGAAAAGUAUAAACAAACGACGAGCAGGGUCUGGCCGGAUGGUGCUUGCUUAACUCGAUCAACAAUGCAGAAUGAAAUAGUUCGAAUUAUAUAUAUGCUCUCGCGAACGCAAUCAAGAACCAGUUGCGUGAAGAUUAAUUUACGAACCAAAAUAUCAACUCGUGCUAUUAAUCUCCCUAUAAUCCGUUUGUUUCUUUGUCGUAUGGUUAGAAGCGUAGAGGUCCCGUUGCCCAGUUGCACCUUGUUUUCUUUAUUAUAAACUCAAUUAAACUACUGCUCUUAAUAUGUUUCCCUAGUCUUUAUCUUUAUCUUUAUCUUUACCUAAUCUUUCCCUAAUAAUAAAGCGAUUACUGCUUCUGGUCGUACGUCGUCGGUGUUUUUGCGAAAAAGUCCCUCUUUCUUUGAAAUCAACCCGCAGUCUCUGUUUAAGUGGCACUCUGGAAAAACGUUUCAUUUUUACAAAAAGAACCCUGUAUUUUGGUGCAUUCAACCCGCGAUCUUCUUUUAGGUGGCUCUGAGAGAUAACUUUGCAAAAAAGACCCGUGCAUAACGAGCGGCUGGGGGCGGCGGCUGCUCGAUCCGGAACGACGCCGGUGGCUGGAGCUUGCAGGACCGGAUCCGUGCGCAGCAGGGGCUGGGGACACCGAUUCGGAGGCGGGCGGCGAGGCUAGGAAGGCCGGAGCUGAGGGAGAGAAGGAAGAAAGGAGGGGAGGUGCGGCGUCCUAGGCAGGAGCUCGCCGGAGCCGGGCGACGGCGCACGGGCACGGGAGACGAAGGGAUCCGAAGCCAGCCGGUCGGGCGACAACAACCAGGACACGGGUGGCGUACGAAUGAGGACUUGACCACCAGCUGCAGAAAUCACUCAUUCUUGGCGCCAUGGCGGCCGCGGCAGCGGCCAGCGGUGCCAUCCCAUGGCGUAGAGAGGAGAGGACGGAGGGGAAGCUGGCCAGCAGAGGUUGGCUCGCCCACAUGUGCGGCGGCGCCAUCCCGUGGUGGAGAAAGCAUGUGACGAAGGGGAAGCAUUAUACUCUAAUGACAGAUUAGAACUCGAUUGUGGCCGCAACGAAAUCACAGCCAACUGAAGAAUACGCAGGCAUGGCGGGGCUGAAUCAAACAUCACAACCAAUCGAAGAAGAGGCGGACAUGGCCGGGCUAAGCCGAACAUCACAACCAGUCAAAGAAGAGGCGGGAAUGGCCGGGCUAACCCGCUGUAACCGGGAGGUCGGGGCAGAGGUAGAGGAGGAUGAACGGUGGGUGGAGCCGGAUGCUGCAGAUCGAGGACGCGCUGCACCGGGACUGUUGGUGGCGGUGGAGGGGGAGUAGGGGAAAGGCGUCGCGGGAAGUCACAGGAGGCAAGUGGAACAACCGCUCCAGAUCUGCCACAAGGGGGCACUCUGCCACCGAGAGAUGCGCCGCCGGAGCGCCGAGCUGACAGCUGCGAGGGGGGUCGCACGCAAUGGGCCAGCGGGAGACGAGGAGAGGCCCCACCGCCACUGCCACGGAUCAGCCACCAGGCGGCGCCGAGGGGAGGUGCGUGGAGAUGGGGUGCUUGGUGGCGGCGUGCUCGGGAAUCGGCCUGUGUCGCCGGGCGCUCGGCCCUGUUCUAUAUCGGUGAGGAAAGAGAUGCAGAUAGGGAUGAGAGAUAGAUGGAGCGAUAGUACAGAAGAGAGGAGCGGUGGAGUUUGUUUUUUUGCUUUUGACAACAAAGAGAGCGGUGGAGGUGGAGACAAAUGGACAAGUUUGGAGGUGGAGU